AUGUUGAUGAGAUAUGCACAAUUAGACUGUGAAAUGCACUGCACUGUGGUCAUUAGGAGGGUUCCAUUCUACUGGGAAACCUUAAAGCCUCUUUUUGCUUUUUUGUUUUUUGUUGUUGCCGUUUUCUUUUGUUUUGUUUUUACCAUGUAGCCUAGUUUACUAAUGUGUUCAUAUUUAUUUUUUCAAUUCUAGUUCUUACACUGUUGUAUUUAUAGAAAUAGAGGUAUUUCAAUUCAGUGGAAAGUUGCCUACAUAUAAAAUUGAAAAAGAUCUCGUGCUUACCAUAUCAGGGAAAGCAUGCCUAUUCAUCAAAAGUUAGAUUUUUGCAGAAACAAAUGUGAUUUUAUGACAAAUCAGUCCAUAUAUGUCGAGUUUUGCCAUUUUGUCCCUAAUUGAAAAAUAAAGCCCCGUACUACAGGGUGUUUCUGAAGUUAAUUUUAGUAUAUAAUACAAGUUAAAAUGAUAAAUUCCACACUUUUUAAAGAUGUCCCUUUUUGAGGCCAGUUGAUUAUGAAUAACACCAACACUAAAACUAUUU